GGCCAUGUCUUGGUGUCAUCGAGCGGGUCGAAGUCGUAGCGGUCCUCGGUAUCCGGAUCCAUGACUUGAACGAAGAGCUUCCACUCCGGGUAGUUUCCGGCGGCAAUGGAGUCGUACAGAUCCUGGGUGGCGUGGCUGUGGUUCUUGCCGCCCACCACGAUCGCUUCGUCUUCCAGCAAGCACUUGACUCCACACGUGGGCUUCCAGUGGAACUUCACGUAGUUGACCUUCCCUUCCUUGUUGACGAAGGUGUAGGUGUUGACGCCGAAGCCUUCCAUGUGGCGGUAGUCGGACGGGACGCCCACGUCGUCGAAGAGGAAGAAGAAGGUGUGGAGGCUCUCGGGGUGGUGCGAGAGGAAGUCGAACACCCUCCAGUACUCCUGGACGUGGGACUUGGGGUUUGGCUUGAAGGCGUGGAUCACGUCCGGGAACUUGAUGCCGUCGCGGAUGAAGAACACGGGGAAGUUGUUCCCCAGCAGAUCCCAGUUGCCCUGACGCCAUGAGACAAUCGGUGAGACCUUGGGGAGACGAGCACGAAUACUUCGGCGCAAGGGUGGAUCACAGUAGAUACCUCUCGGGUGUAGAACUUGACGGCGAACCCGCGGGGGUCUCUGAUGGUUUCAGGGCUGCCACGCUCGUGGAUGACGGUGGAGAAGCGGAGGAUGAUCGGCGUCUGGACGCCGGGCGCCCGGAGGAAGUCGGCGCAGGUGAGGUGAGUGACAUCAUGAGUGCACUCGAAGAAGCCCUUGGCGCUCGCGCCUCGGGCAUGGACGACGCGCUCCGGUAUGCGCUCCCGGGCGAAGUGAGCGAUCUUUUCGACCAGAUGGUAGUCCUCAAGGAGGAUGGGUCCUGAGAGCAACGAUAAGCUUUCAGCAGCUCACAUGAUUAAGGAUGGCUUUCCCUUCGACACCAUUCCCAUACCUCUGGAUCCCACGGUGAGGGCCUGGUCAUCGUUCCAUACGGGCGCACCAGCGUUGGUGGUGGUAAAGUUGGUGUCGAAGGAGCUCGAGGGACGGAACUAUAAACAAUAAAAAGAGAAUAUAAAUCAGAGUUCGGAAUACAUAUUACAUACUUAAAGCGUUUCGAUAUCGCGUUAGAUCUCCGGCAGAUUUCCUCCCGAGGGUACGGCUUAGCUGUCUCCACCGGCGCAGCGAGCUACAUGGAUGGUGCAGCCAUUGGUUCAAACAAGAGGGACCCACAAUCCGCUCCGGCUAUCCGCUUUCAGUGUGAUUGUGGGGCCCCUGUUUGGACCAACGAGCUGCAGGAUCGGAGCAACAUCCUGCCUCGGUGGAUACAGCUGCGCUACACCAUCACAUGAGAUCUACCGAUAACUACGUGCAACAUGAGUUAAUACGUAUGAGCAGAGAAGUGUUGCCACGGACUGCGAAUGGCUGCAGGAGCGAAGGAAGAGAGCUUCAUACCUUGUAAGGAUCCAUGACCUCUGAGGAGGAGAGGGAAGCACGAGAGAGCAGUUUGGGGGUGCUUAUUGCUGCUCCCACCCCUCUCCAAGGUCUCUUAAAUAGAGAGAGAGUUGCUUCUCCUCACCUCCCCGGUCAGACCACUCGCCUGGGUCUUGCCAGCGCAGCUGGGACACAACAGGUGAUGUCGAUCCAGACUUAUCAGGAGUUCGAUCUUACCCCUCCAAUCGUCCUUUUAAUUAGAAUCCUACAAUUCCCAUCUGACGAGAGGUAACGGUGGUUAAGAAGAGUUGAAGGUGGGCUUAGAGAGAGAGAGAGAAGAAGAGAUGUUUAGAAAAUAUUAUGAAUGAGAAUUGACGAGGAUAGUAAUUAUGAUAAGACCCGGCCGACGUCAGCCGACGCCUCACGUCUCGAUCGACGCAACUACGCUCAGUCAAUCGAACCGAAACAUCGGUCGAGGCGUAUUAACGCCUACUCAGGCGUGAUUCUUCAUGCCACGCCAGCGCCCAUGUCAGACGCUAUCAGCCUGCCUCCUACAGGCCGGCACAUCAAACAGCAGUAAGUUUCCCUAUAAAUAUCCUCUCGUUCAUCAUAGAAAAAAGGGGGAGUGACAUGUACAAACACUUCUUCUCCUGAAACCCCCUCCACGUCUUCUAACUUGAUUGUCGGAGGGGUCGGGCCGAGCGCUCCGGCCCGACCUUUGUGCAGGUGCGAAGCCGAGGGUCCCCGUCGGACGCGCGGACGAGGAGUUCCCGCCCGGAGGACACGGCGACCUCGUCCCGACCGGACCGACCCCACGGGCUCGAGGUACGCCCCUGGGAGAUCCCCAUCGUCCGGACUCGAACCGAGCUACGUUAGCCCCGAGGCCACGGUUCCAGGCUGUUUCCCACGACAAGAAUAAAUGGGAAAAAAAAGUCUAAUGUAACUAACAAUAAAACGAAUAUAAUCACAUAUAUUAACAAAAAUAUAUGAAGUUAUUAAACCGAACAAGUAGACAGUCGCCAUAAAUGGUGUCGAUCGGUGAUCUGAAGCCCCAUAAAAGAUAGGAACGAGCAGUGUGUCUGACACAGGUCCAGCAGCCCUACAAAGGAUAAGAUAGAGAGAGAAUGCAUCGUCGUUCCACUCGUCAGCAUGCAUUGCAGUGCUGUGGGUGGAGUCCUCCUGUGGCUCCAAAUGUUGACAGCGAAGUUACUGGGAGAAGAGGACAAAGGAGAGAAUUGUUGACGUAUGAAUGCAGGGAACAUGGACUGGAUGUUGAAAUUUUCAACGCCCUACCACUGUUUCUAAGAUCAUUUUCUAGAAAUGGGACGAUCAAAAAGUAAUUUAUUAUUAGAAUAAAAAUACGACCAUUGUUUCUAGAAAUGGUGGUAGGACUGAGCUUGAUUUGAUCUCACACCCACCCCAUCACCCACCGGAAAUAAGACAGCUUGUCAUCGUUGCUAUUCGAUUUUUUAAAGAUAAUUUUAAAUUUAAAAUAAAUGAGGAAAAGUAAGAUCUUAUGAUAAAUUAUUAAAUUUUUAUUGAUUAAAUUAAUUAAUAUUAUCAUCCUUUUAAUAAGUGAAAUUUAAUUUUUGAGGUAAAUUUACUAACUAAAGGAUGUAUUAAAAAUAUCAUAAUUUAAAAUUUAAAAAGGUUUAAUUUUAGUUGGGUGGUAUGUCAUGAUCUCAUUAUAUGCAAGUUAAUGAUAAUAAAUUUAUUUAAUUAUUAUAAGUCUUCUCCUACUUGAUAAAUAAGAUUAAAUCGAAACGCUGUAAUACUCUUAUAUUCUUAAGGAUUUGUUAAAGAUCAAACUUUAGUAUUGUGAUCUAUAUCAUGACAUACGCUCUGAUACUUUUACAUAAAUUCUUUCAUCAUAAUUAUAUUUGAACUUUUACAUCAUUUAUCAUGAUUUGAUCCGAUGAAAUAAUUGAUUAAACUAUUUUACCUUAAUGAUAAUAGACUCAUUUAAAUUUUAAUAUCAUUGUUUUUAGGUUUCAAUAUUUUUAAGUCAUUCUGAUAGGAUAUUAAGAUCUAUUUUUUUAUCGAAAUUAAAAAGAAAGAGGGAGAACCAAUAAAAAUUUAAUCUUUUCGAUUCAUCACUGAAACUAAAUAUCACAUUCAAAAAACAAAUUUAUCCAACUCUUAAAAAAUCUUACGUGAUAAUAUUGCAUCCCAUUAUCAUUGAUAGAGUGCAUAGAUUCUGUUGAUAUUUGGAUUAUACAUAAGUUUAGCUUUUAUUUCCUAAAUAAAUAAAUAAUAAAUGAUAAAGCCAAUCUACACAACCAAUCAAGCAAGCAAGCUGUAUAGUGUCUCGUGAGCCCAAGUGGGGCCCUCGCGUAUCUUUCUCUUAUCGCCACCAGAUUGCGUUGUCGGUAAUGUCUCAUCUCAAUUAUUGGGGUAGAGCUGUGCCAUAUUGGAGGAGGACAGAGUGUUGAGAUGUUACAUGUAAUGCAUGUCCUUAACCGUGGUAGAUUGCAUCAAAAUCUACCUUGGCGUGCGAAGAUAAAACGAUAAGGACAAUUCUCCGGCUUUCGUUCUCUGACAAGAGUAGAUAAGCUAAAUCACUCUCCUCAAACCACACAACGCCAAGUAUGCGUCUCUAGAUGUGCUUCUUUUUUCUUCCAAGAAAUCAAGCAACGAUCCAUCUUGCAAGAACCAACUUUUGGCGUUUCCAAUGACUUUUCAAAAGCAUGAUAGCUUAACUUCCACUGUGUGUUCUAUAAAAUAAAGGAGGAAUCUUCCAUCACAUCAUCAUGAUAAUUCAUCAAACAGAUUAAUUAUAUAUUAUCUUACAUAAUUCAUUAUUUUUUAUAUUUUUAAAAUUUAUAUUAAAAUCCUUAUAUUUACGAAAGUAAAAUAUUUAAAUCCAUAUACAUAGUUAAAAAAAUAAUUUUAUAUAGUUAAACAAAUAAAUAACUAAUUAAAUAUUUUAUUUUUAUAAAUAUAAGAAUCUUAAUAGUAUAAUUAAUAUGUAGUUAGACUAAAUUCAUCUCAACUUAAUAACUCAUUAAUUUGAUUAGUUUGAACUAUACAAUCUAAAAUCUAAAAUGCUUAAGCAUAAAUUAAUGAUAGUAUUCUUAUAAGCCCAUUUGAACCUUUUCUUACAUUAAAAUUAAAUCAGAAUUCUCCAAAUGGCAAAACAAAAAUUAUAUAACAUAUAGUGAUGUCUUAAGUCUUCCUUGCAAUGUCUUCUUGUGAUCCUGAGAUCCUUCCAUCAGAACAAUAAAGAUGAGCCACACAAUCCCUUAUUCGCUAUGAGAUAUUUUGGGGAAAUCAUGAUGUAGUUCUGAUCCGUGGAAGCUCGACAACAACGUAGACAUCAUGCACAGUGGAAUCAUGUAGCAUGACACCAACCUCCACUUGUAUGGACCAACCUAACAUUUUGCAGCAAAUAAAUUAUGAGAAUCAUAAUGCAUGGGGCAGAUAUUUUUCUAGUGAGCUAACGAAAGACUCACUCAGACAUCAUAAAUUAAUCUUCACGAAAUAUUAGCCUGAUUUGAUGUGAUGUAUCUGACUCAUCUUCGCUUCAAAGUCGAAAAAUCUGAUCAUACAAAUUUUUCUUCUUCUUUGUUUUAAAAAUUAUAGGAAGUAAUAAUAAGUUUUAUUACCUCAACUAUGUUUAUGAUUAGCUAACAUAAAUUCUCAAAAUUUAUGAAAUUUUUGGGCCCUAUAGGUUUCGCUUGUUUACCUAAAUAAACUGUCUUAUAAAAUUAAUAAGGCUUAUAGUUAUAUGUUGAUAACACAAAAUUCUUGAUGAUCAUUUUCAUUUUAAUCAUACAAUAUAUAUUCUAUUAAUAAUAUCUUUAUUAGUUAUUCUAUCUACCUUAUUAAAUUACUGAUUUAAAGUACGUAAAACUUUUAAUUAUUAAAAUUAUAUGUUUAUCCGAUUUGAUUACAUCCUCAUUCAUAUUAUUUUUUAAAAUAUUUAAAUUGAUUAAUAUAUUAUUACACAAGUGAUGGGUCUGGAAUUCAUUCGAAUCAAUAUGUAAACAUCAUGUAUGAUAUUUGACGUAAUAAAAAAUUUUAAUUAAAAAAUUAUUUGCAUCAAACGUGUAGGGGAUAUCCUCUUUCGAAGAGGGUCGAGUGCAAUAAUCUCAUCCUUAUCUUGGCAUAUGCUAUUGUUGGUCAAUCACGAGUUCGUUGCUAUUGGCGAGUGAGUUCACUCUCGAGUCUCUUUCACUCUUCUUCUUCCCCCGUUGGUGUUGCAGACGAACGUAUGCACCUAUCCAAAUCUAAUGAGUGCAUGGAAAAUUAGAGCGGCAUUUGCUCCUUGGUCGUUGCAUGCUAUUGUCUAUUCUGUCUCGAUCCAGAUGUGGACAGCAGUUUCAUUUGAGUCUUCUUCGGUUUGCUCAUCUCGUGCUUAAGGAGGACACGACUUAACCUUUUAAUUUUUAGAUUGUAUUAAUCUUUGAUCAACAUAUAUACAUACAUAUAGACACGGCUGAGUAAACUAUCCAUAAGAUAAAAAGAUUAGAAUAAAGAGAAAAUAAACUUUAAAGUCUUAAUAAUAAAAACAAUAAAUUAAAUUUUAUUUCAUAUUAUUAAGGAUUAAAAGAACCCAAUAAUAACAUGUCUUAGAAUUAAUAAUUACUUUGCGACGAGUCAACUGUGAUGGGAUUGUAUAGAGAGUGAAAAGAUCAAUGGUGAGAAAAGUAUGGAUGGAGAACGAUUUGAUGCGAUUUCUGUAGAUCUUAGUAUCCCGAGGCCAAACGUUUCCCAAUGGCUACAAGAGUUAGGGUGGAAAAACAAGGGAGAAGCUUCCAAGAACUAAUGCCAUCAUUCUAAUCAACCAAAUAAUGGAAAACGAAUGGCAACUACAAAUGUCUCCCUGUCGCCAUCUAAAAGCUAUCAUCUGACCAUUUCUACCUUCCUAAUUAUUGAUGAUGACAUUUAGAUUCAUGUAAGGUUGUGUUAUUUAUAAAGUUUAAAUAUGUCCAAAUCUUAACUAUUUGUAUCAUAUACGAGUAAUUUUUAUAUUUAAAAUGUUAAUUUAAUGAUGAUAUAUUAGAUUCAUUUUAUACCGAUCAAAAGUUUAAAUUAUUAUUUAAUAAUUUUUUAACAUAAAAUAUUUUUCUAAUAAUGAUGUAUCAAACCCACCCACUUGAUAUAUUGGUACACCUAAAAUAUUGAUAUAAUAGUAAAAGUUUAAAACCUCAUUUGAAAAAUUUUCAAGAUGUCAAUUAGUUUAGUUAAUAAAAACUUUGACUAUAUAAUAAUUUAUUAACAUCAUAUUUCAUUUUCAUUAUUUAUCUUUUAUAAUAAAAAAAAUAAUAUAAUUGAUCUUAAUAAAUACACAUGUGUCUGAAUAGAUAUUAUUAAAACCAACAUAUGUGCUUAAAUAUUUCGAUACAUACCUUCAUCAUAGUAAAAAAAUAUUAUAUAUAUAUNNNNNNNNNNNNNNNNNNNNNNNNNNNNNNNNNNNNNNNNNNNNNNNNNNNNNNNNNNNNNNNNNNNNNNNNNNNNNNNNNNNNNNNNNNNNNNNNNNNNNNNNNNNNNNNNNNNNNNNNNNNNNNNNNNNNNNNNNNNNNNNNNNNNNNNNNNNNNNNNNNNNNNNNNNNNNNNNNNNNNNNNNNNNNNNNNNNNNNNNNNNNNNNNNNNNNNNNNNNNNNNNNNNNNNNNNNNNNNNNNNNNNNNNNNNNNNNNNNNNNNNNNNNNNNNNNNNNNNNNNNNNNNNNNNNNNNNNNNNNNNNNNNNNNNNNNNNNNNNNNNNNNNNNNNNNNNNNNNNNNNNNNNNNNNNNNNNNNNNNNNNNNNNNNNNNNNNNNNNNNNNNNNNNNNNNNNNNNNNNNNNNNNNNNNNNNNNNNNNNNNNNNNNNNNNNNNNNNNNNNNNNNNNNNNNNNNNNNNNNNNNNNNNNNNNNNNNNNNNNNNNNNNNNNNNNNNNNNNNNNNNNNNNNNNNNNNNNNNNNNNNNNNNNNNNNNNNNNNNNNNNNNNNNNNNNNNNNNNNNNNNNNNNNNNNNNNNNNNNNNNNNNNNNNNNNNNNNNNNNNNNNNNNNNNNNAUAUAUAUAUAUAUAUAUAUAUAUAUAUAUAUCCGAAUGCCUGUUUUUGAGGUUGUAAGUUUGAAUCAUCACUUUGCGACAUGUACUCCGACUGUCUUUAUGACAAUUCACUUGUCACUUCUCGAAGAUCCAACUCAUGAUAACACAAAAGGCAAGUUUAAGAUAUCGUUUACUAAUUCUCGGUCUGUAGGGAAUCACCGAUAGAUCAUCUCAAAUUAGCUGUCUGCAUUAACUUUAUGUCCCAUCCCAUCCCUUCACUUCCCUUUUAUUGAGAGAUCUAUACAGCGAGAAGGUGUUCAGUCGUUAGCUGAUGCGACUGCAUUAAUCAGUACUGCAAACAUUUAUAAGCAAUGAAAUGAGACGAAGAAGAAGACAAUUCAUUACAAAUCCACAAGGAACUCUUAAACUGAGCUAAUCCAUCCGCUAAUCUAUUGCCGGAGACUUCGUUGUUUAAUCUGCUUUUAUUUUUAGGUUCUAUAAUUAAACCAUCCAUACAAUAACUGGAUUACUCAGAAUUUAGAACCUUGAUUCUGAAGGGUAUUGUAAUAAUUCAACUUAAUUUCCUAUCGAGAGUGGAUUAAGUCUUAAAUAGAUUUACAAAAUAUCGAUCUAUGGAUGUAAGACUACUGUUAAUUUGAAUAUAAGUAUUUUGAACUCAUGAUUUAGUCUUAGUAAUAUUUUAGAUGUUGUUGGUAAACGAAGAUCAUCGACGGGUGAGUCGGUCCGAUUGAUUUAUUGUCAAAGGCACAGGUUCUUCUUAAUGACUCCUCAUUACUAAUUAGAGGAGCUAAUGUAGCAAGCCGAUGUAGAGAGAGCCCACUAGGGAGGUGGUUCGUUGGGAGCAACUUGACGGGAAGUUGGGUAGGAGAGCUGGAUUCUCUUAGUUGUUGAGUCGUCUCUUGGUCACGUCUUUAGAUGGUGCAAGGGGUCCUACACAAUUGGUUUACACUGGAAGUGUCCCGGCUCGACCCUAGUGGGUCUUUAGAUGCUUAAGUUGGCGAAAGACAAAGAGAGAGGAAGACAAUAGUAUGAACAAUGUAAAUGAGAGAAUAGAGGAUUUUUGCAUUUACAUACUCGUCUUGAUCUAGGGCUUAGCUUUUAUACCUAGGCGUCUAGUGGUUUGGACACAUGUUACCAAGCCUCUCUUACCUAUGGUGGAGGCAUUAAUGAGGGCGACUUACUUAUGUGUGUCCUCUGGCAUCUUGGGCAAAUCGUUGGGAUGCCUUUGCAUCGACUUUCUUACCGCUUUGGGUUAGAUAGGAAGUGGUCUCUCUAUCGGCUAUCCGAAAGGGAAGACCGGUGAAGCUUAGUCAUGUUGUCAAUCAUUAAUGCAAAGGCAUAGCUUCUACUGAGAUGUCAGCUAGGAGACGACUAGGGAAGCUAAGGCAUAUUGUCAAUCAUUAAUGCGGGGCAUGAUUUCUUUAGCUAUGGCAUCAAUAUAGAAUAUGUCUUACAUGCUCACUUUAGAAAGUAAGAACAAAUAGGGUAGAUCUCUGUUGGCUACUGGAGGGAGCUGAUAGUGCCAAGCUUUUUUCUAUUAUAUAUUGAUUAUUAAUUUUUAAUACCCAUGACAUCAAAUGAUUCUUUUUAAGUAAUAAAUUAUUUUUUUUAAAAAUAAUAAGAUAAUUUAGUUGGGGUUCCUAUUACAAAGUUUGUUUGAAAUGUGAAUUAACCCAAGAGUCAUGCUAUCUUUGGAAAAGUACUGUUGAGAGAAAAAAAGAGAGCGAUGCCACUUAAAUAUAUUGUUUUGGAUAUUAUCGACUUACUCGAAGACAAGAGAUAUAUCACUUCAAUCAUGCAAUUGUUGAUAAGGAAUAAAACUAGGAAAGAUGUAAUGUAAUUAAUUUUUGUCAUGUUAAUAGAAAUGCCAGUGUAUGAAUUAUCUAACCUCUAUAAAAGGAUAAUAAUUUAUACAAUUUUUAUUGUCUAAAAAUAUAUAUAAAUUAUUAAUUUAUUAUAAAAAUAUGAAAUUUUUUAUAGUUUUAAGCAAGGAUCAUUGUUUCAAGUAUUGGACUCGUUUCGAUGAUCUAAUUAGACUAAUAUAUCGGUUAAUAUUGAUGUACCAUGUAUCGAUAUAAUACUAUAUAUCGAUAUUUCGAAGAGAAUAAGAAAAGAAGGGAUAAGAGGAAUGGUGGGUGGAGGAAUAGGAAGAAGAAAGAAUGAGGAAGAGGAAGAUUAAGAUGGAAGAAAAGAAAAGAGAGUGGUGAAGGAGAAAAAAAAAAGGAAGAGAAGGAGGGGAAUAGGUGGGAGUGCAAGUAGGAAGAAGAAGGAAUACGAUGACAUUAGUAUCGUGAAGGAAUGUGGUGGUAGUGGCAUCACCAAAGGGCAACAGCGUUAAAUGCAAGAAGAGGGCUUACUUCUAUUUUAGGUUUUUUUUUUUUAAUAUCGAGUUGGAUGAGUCUCAUUGCUAUUUUAAGUUUUUUUUCUAUUUUUUUUGAGUUGGAUCGGGCUAUCCAAAAUGAUGAUGAUCAACAUAUCAGUUACAUUCAGAUGAGUAUAUACCGUUCGUUUCAUACCGUUUUAGACGGUACGAUACUUGAGUAUACAAAAGAAAUAUACAUAAUUAGAUUAAAAUUGAGAGAUAAUUAGUAAUAAUCUAAUAUUGUUAAGAAUUGAAAAAGGUCAUAUAUGUAUUGGAUUUGGUCCAAAUUAAGUUUUUGGAUUGCAUUAAUAUCCAAUCCCAUGUAAAAUAUUUCUUAAAUAUAAUACAAUUUAUGGCUACAAAAUAUUGCAUGUUUAGGAGACGUGAUGUAAAGAGGGCAUCUUAAUGCCAAAAACCAAGAAAUCAAUUAAAAAUUUUCCAAGAGGUAUAAAUUUAGAGAGACACACCAAAUUGAUAACAUUCAUCCUACAAAUUUAUCUCUAAACAGUGUUUUUAGAGACAUUUUUGUAUAUCCUUCUCUAACAUGUAUUCCUAUGAAGUCAGUGAUUUUUCAUAGACAUGCCUUUGUGCAAAAAAAAACAAAAAAUUUACAGAUAUUUAUUGUAAUUAAUAUUCAUCGAUUGCUGGUUACUAUGGCUAUUAGUUGAGCUCUAACAUUAGUAUCCUUUAAAACUUAUAAUGAUAUGAAUGUUACUAUUCUUUAUGGCAACAACGUAAUAUCAAAUUGCUAAUAAAUUUAGCGUUGCAAGGACAAAAGAUUCAGAGAAUUUGGACUAUGUUAAGAAUUGGUAAAAAGAAAUCGCUUUAUAGUGUUGAGGAAGAUGAAUCCAACUUGAUGUCCUCCACAGUAUCCUGUUGGCCAUGUUUAUAAAUUAGAGAGAGAGAAAAAAAAAAAAAUCUUCCAUGAACAAAAGGUUAAAUUUUUUUUUUGGUGGAUAAGGUUAAAUUCUAUUUAUUCUAUUAGAUUUUUUUACAUGUUUAUUUUGGUCCCUCAUGGUGGGUAUUGAAUUUUUUUUCUUUUAUUUUUUAAUCAGGUUUUUCAUGACUAAUAGACAAUCGGAAGGAUUUCUCGUAAAUAUGAUAUCUCGAGAACUUUGAUAUAUCGACUUAAAUUUUUUUUAGAUGGAUUAAUAACAAUUCAUGUGUGAUAUAAAAAAAAUAUUUUCACAUUCUUAAGUACGAAAAGAGUCAUGUAACAUAUGUCUAAUCUCAGUCGUAUUUAGGUUGAUAAAAUUUGAUACGAUAAAACAAUAUACCUUCAAGUUCUUUAGUAAAUAUUUUUUUAAUCUAUUUUUCUAAUUGUUCUUCUUACAUAUUAUUGACAUAUGAAUUGUUUUCUUUUCUCCUCUUUUUAUUAUUGGGUUUAUAUUCUCAAACAAGUGAUAUCCGAGCAUCCAUAUCCUUAUUCACAUAUCAUGAUCGAUUUUUUCUUGUUUGGUGACUCGUAGCAUCACUCUUCCAAAAGCAUUAACAUUUUCUUGAUGAUGUACUUACUCUUUCUUUUCUAGUGUCAUCUUUUUUGGCUGCACCAUAAACCAAGAACAUGACAGACAAUACUAUUAUUCAUGAACAAGCAAGAUGGGACUGUUUAUGCAUUGACAUUCUUUUGGAGAUAUUUGAAACCCUGAAUAUGAUCGAUCGGUGUACGGUAGCUCAAGUUUCUCACUCAUGGCGAAUGACUUGUUUCGAUUCAUCACUCUGGAGAACGAUCGAUCUCCGGAUUCUAUGGUCCGACCUUCUUAUAAGGGUGGACACUGAGCUCAGGUUGUCACAAGCACUGAUGACUAUAGUAGCUUAUGGUCAUGGAAACAUCACCAGCAUUGUGUUCCAUCCCAACUUACCUACAAAGGAUGAGCACUUGAACAUCAUCAGUCGAGGGUAAAUUACACAUUCAUAUUAGCUUCUUCUUCUUCUUCUUCUUCUCUACCUUAUUCCCUUAUAAUCUGAUGGGUUAUACGUAUAUAGAUGCCCUCAUCUUAAAAGGCUCGUCAUGCCGUGUUGGGAUUCCAUCAGCGUAACUGCAAUGAGUGAUGCCAUAAAUAACUGGGGAGAAUUGGAAUCGAUAACCAUGCCUAGCCUUACUCCUUCCUUUCGAACCAUGCUGACUAUUGAUGGAUCUUGCGAGAGGCUCUCUCAGCUAAAGGUCGUCGGUGUCGUUCAUGAUGGAUUUCUAUCAUCGCCUUUUGGAAACUUCCCCUUCGAGCUGAAGGUGUUGAGCUUGCAAUGUUGCUUGGUGCCCUUGGGAGGUCUACUGACAAUAAUGGACAUGCAUCUUCAUCUCGAGGUGCUUAAUCUGUCACACGUACUAUUGCAUCUUGAUGAGCGUAUGAAUCCCGUACCACUGAUGAAAUUGUUCGACAACCCAGUAGGCAUGUUGAUUCUUGAGAAAGCUUUCAGGUUGAGUAGCUUCUUCUACUGCGAGGACUACAAAUCAUGCAAUGAAUGCAGGAGGAUGAUGAAUGGUCACACGAGGCACAGUGAUGGUUGGUGGAGGCUGGAUGAGGUGGCCUCUUUGAAUUUGAGAGAGUCCGAUGAUAUAUAGUUUGAGUUUCUGGAUUGAAUUGAUGUCUCACAUGAUAUAUAUUAUUAUAUUUUUUGAUAUUUUGUUUGGUCAAUGUAUUAUAUUUGAUAGCAGAUAAGAUUUCUUUAACUAUAUGAGGAAAUCUCUUUAUUCUGUUAAGGGAAAUUGAAAUCCUCUAUUCCUCCUAAUGAGAACGAAGUUUCUUCAAUAAUUAUUUUCAACAAUAUUAAUCUGAUUAUAAUCAUUAAUCAUAAAAUUUGAUUUAAUAUUUUUUUCUCAAAGGCUUAAACGAUUUGAGAAAAGUAUGGAUAGAAAAUGAUUUGAUGAGAACCUAUUGAUCUUAGUAUCCGGAGGCCAAAGAUUUCCCAAUGCUUACAAGAGGAAGGGUGGAAAAAUAAGGGAGAAACUUCCAAGAACUAAUGCCAUCAUUCUAAUCGACCAAACAAUGGAAAACGAAUGAGCAACUACAAAUGUCUCCCCAUCGCCUUCUAAAACCUACACAUUUUAGAUUCCUCCCCCAAUAUCACCAUCUAAAAGCUAUUAUCUGACCAUUUCUACCUUCUUAAUUAUCGAUGUUGACAUUUAGAUUUAUGUAAGGUUGCAUUAUUUGUAAAGUUUUAAUAUGUCGGAAUCUUAAUUAUUUGUAUCAUAAGUAAUUUUGUAUACUUCAAAUAUUAGCCUAAUGAUGAUAUAUUAGAUCCAUUUUAUAUCGAUCAAAAAUUUAAAAUAUCAUUUAAUUAAUUUUUUAACAUAAAAUAUUUUCCUAAUAAUGAUGUAUCAAAUCCAUUUGAUAUAAUGAUACAUCUAAAAUAUUGAUAUAAUGAUAGUAUGUUUGACCCACGUAUCUAUGACAUUUUCCGUUAUCAUCGAAAUUAAGAGUUCGAAACCUUAUUCCAAUAAUUUUUAAGAUGUCAAUUAGUUUACCUAAUAAAAUUUUUGACUAUAUAGUAAGAUGUUGACUUCAAUUCCAUUUUCAUUACUUAUUCUUUAUAAUAAAAAAAAUAAAAUAUAAUUGAUCUUAUUAAAUACACACAUGCCUGAAAAUAUAUAUAUAUAUAUAUAUAUAUAUAUAUAUAUAUAUAUAUAUAUAUUUAUAUAUAUCCGAAUCCCUGUUUUUUUAGGUUGAAAGUUGGAAUCAAAUUAGCCGUCUGCAUCAACUUUGUGUCCCAUCGCUUUCUCUUCCCUAUGAUUGAGAGAUCUCUACAGCUUGAAGGUGUUCAGUCAUUAGUUGAUGCGGCUGCAUUAAUCACUGCAAACAUUUAUAAGUAGUGAAAUGAGAAGAAGAAGAAGAAGAAGACGUCAAGCAACUCUUAAACUGGACUAAUCCAUCCAUCUAUUGCCGGAGAUUUUAUUGUUUAAUCUGCUUUUAUUUUUAGGUUCUAUAAUUAAACCACCCGUAUAAUGACAAGAUUACUCAGAAUUUAGAGCCUUGAUGCUGAAGGAUAUUGUAAUGAUUCGAUUCAAUUCGAGAGUGGAUUAAGUCUUAAACAGAUGAUUUAAUACUAUUAUUUAUUUGAGCUUAUGUAUUUUGAGCUAAUGAUUUAGUUUUAAUAAGAUUUUAGAUGUAUUGUUUUUUAAUACCUUAGAAAGAGUCAUGCUAUCUUAGAAAGAGUACU
rnacentral:lncRNA from 1 species